GAAAUGUUUGACAUAUAAUAUCCAGUCAAUGUGUCCUUUUUGGAAUGGACACAGAUCCCAGAAAAUGUCACUUCUCAUUUUUUUUUUUUUAUUCAAUCCCAUAGAAUCCUGGAAGACUCAGGAGGAUGCUCCUCAGCUGGAGUCGUUUGUGAUGGUCCCAGCCUGUAGUCAGAUAAUAGGAGAAACAUCCUCUGCCUCCACAGGAUAUUUCGCUUGUGUCUCCUCUGAAUGCGAGCUUGUCUUUUCUGAUGAGGAUGUGACACACACUCAGUGGCCUGAAGAUUUCAAAAAAUGAUGUCCAGCACAUUCCUGUGAUCUCGUGAGAGCCCCGCAGUCCCUGUGAACACCACAGCAUCAAGGUAGGGUUGGCCGGGAGGCAUAUGUAACCUGAUUCUCUGUGGCUCCUUUCAGUUGUCCUGGUAAAUGUGACACCAAACUCUGGAGAAAAUGUUCACAUACAACGGGGCUUGAACACCUGGCUGAUAGCCAGAUAAUUGUCCUUAACUCCAAUUUUAUUACCUCCCCCCACGUAUAAAUGCAUGAACACAGAUGUGAUGCAAACAAGUAUGGACACUGCUGAAUUUAGUACAGACUGCAAUACCCCCUUUCCCAUGUACUCAUGUCCAUGCAUUUAUCUCGAGGUUAUUUUUCCAUAUCUUUUUCUUGAAAUAAACUUUCCUCAUAUCUCCCUUUUACAUACUCACUUGCACAGUUACUUGGCUGAAAGACAGACAUUCUUACUAUUGAGAGAGGGAAAGAUACUGGAUAAAGCCCAAGGCAAUUAAAACACACCCCUUGGCUUCUCUGGACUUGUGUAGGUGUAGGUGCACAAACACUUCUUAUAUUAGAAAUGAUAAAAUGUGUAACAUCUGAGACAAUCAAUAUGUGUAUAUACAGG
rnacentral:lncRNA from 1 species